GGGGUUGAUAGGAUUUCUACAUGUAUAUUAAAACAGGUUAAAUUUCAGCGUGUAAUUAUGUAAUAUAUAUAAUUAGACAAUUUAUUUUUCUAUUUGCAAAAAGUAAUAUAUUAGCUUUUUCAAGAAAUCUAGUAACUGCAUAGAUGAUUUUGAUAUAAAUUAUGGAGCUAUCUAUAAUUUUAUUUUUCGGCUGCUCUAAAUUGUUUAUUUAUUAAUGUCAAUUAGUUUUUUCUAAUAGGUUAGUGAAUAUUUUAAGUCAAGUAUUAAUCAUUAAAUUAAUUUUAUAUAAAGAACUUUUCAACCUGAAUUGGUAAUAUACAUGGACGUGGGUUCAAGUCCCACCAGCUCCA
rnacentral:tmRNA from 1 species